GGUUAAGAUUGGUUUUUGGUCAGGGUUACCAAUAUGGUAAUGUUGGGGUUCAGGGUAUUUACGAUUAAGGAUGGCAUGAUUUAGAGUAAAUAUCUGCAGUAAAUUGUUACCUCGUUAUGCUCAGCCAAUGGCUGAAUGAGACGAUAGUUACAAUUUGCAUCUUUUUAAAUACAGGUACUCCCAUAAACAUAACUACCCCUUAUCCCUAAAUCUCAUUAAACUUGUACAUUCAGUUUUUUUAAAUAGUGUGAAUUGUUAAAAUGUGGGAGAGCAAUGGGACGUUCCUGAAAUGCUAUUAUACUUGAAUGUGAAACAUAGUCAAAUUUUUAAAAGUUUUUAAAAUCUGUAGUGCCCAGUAUCUACACAAAAUAAUUUGCAGAGAUAUUGUUUUUUUUGUGACUG